AUUGAACGCUGGCGGCAUGCUUUACACAUGCAAGUCGAACGGUAACAGGGAGCUUGCUCCGCUGACGAGUGGCGAACGGGUGAGUAAUGCAUCGGAACGUACCCAGUCGUGGGGGAUAACGUAGCGAAAGUUACGCUAAUACCGCAUACGUCCUGAGGGAGAAAGCGGGGGACCGUAAGGCCUCGCGCGAUUGGAGCGGCCGAUGUCGGAUUAGCUAGUUGGUGGGGUAAAGGCCUACCAAGGCGACGAUCCGUAGCGGGUCUGAGAGGAUGAUCCGCCACACUGGGACUGAGACACGGCCCAGACUCCUACGGGAGGCAGCAGUGGGGAAUUUUGGACAAUGGGGGCAACCCUGAUCCAGCCAUGCCGCGUGAGUGAAGAAGGCCUUCGGGUUGUAAAGCUCUUUCAGACGGAAAGAAAACGCAUCGGUGAAUACCCGAUGUGGAUGACGGUACCGUAAGAAGAAGCACCGGCUAACUACGUG
rnacentral:rRNA from 1 species